AUUGCAUAAUUGAUGAUUAAAUAUUCCUCUGAAAGAAAAAGAAACCCUAGAUUGAGCUAUAGCUGAAGAAAGAAUAGUGGAUUUCUAGUUGCAGAAUUACUUAGGAACUGACUGAAUCCAACUAAAAGCAACAAUCUCUAUAGUAUCUUCAGAAUUGUCAACGAUCGAUGGGUGCAUUUUUCAACAUGAGCUCGUCAAUCAUUAUAGUAAAUCUUAUGAUGUUUUUUUUUUAACAUCUAGGGUUAAACAUACUAAUUCUAUUGUUUGCAAUGUUAUACCUACUAUUGUUCGAUUGGCAGGUUAUGGCAAAAGUUUAUCUGCCUUAAUAUAACAGGAUCUAGUUGGAGAAGUAUUGGUGGAAAAAGAUCGAAUAAUCUACUUGCUAAAUAUGGUGCUUUUCUUGCACAUGUUCCCAUUAUAAAGAAAUACGAAUUUAACAAACCGCAUGAAUAGUCUUGCAUAAGUUUUGCUCAGAGCUGGCAUGAUCUCAUGAGCAUUACUUAAUUAUCACGACUCAGUGUUCUGUUUGCUACAAGGGGAGGUGAAACUAUUGUUUGAUAGUAGUGAUACGACGAUGAGUCAAUUAGUUUGUUGAGGAGGAAUAUCAUAUGUAUUAUGAGAAGCGUGCUUCAUUGAUGAUGAUUUGAAAUAGUUGAUGUUGAUCUUAGAAACUCAUGAACACUUGCUUACUUAGGAAAUGGACCUAUCAAUGAUAAGUUACUUCUCAUGUAAUAUACAGGAAGUGUAACUUCUCUUUAGGGAGAAUCUAUCAAAACUAUUUCUUUCCUGCCUAUAAUAUCAUAGAAGUUUUAGUUUCAGCUAUCAGACAACCUUAUGAGACUAUUUUGUUGGCACCUGGCAUCUGUCUCUGCAACUUUUUGGAAGUUAAUUUACUUAAUGGUUUCCAUUAUGUCCCCGUUUCUCUGCUGAAAAAUAUUCCUCUGUAGUCUUCCUAUUUACGCUAGAAUGAUUUUCUUUUUCUUCUUUUUUAUUUAUUUUUUAUUUUUUAAUAGACGAUCUCUUAGCCGUUCAUAUAAUGAUUUUAAACACUUUAUCAUAUAACUUUCUUUAGUUUUCUCUAGAGUUUCCAUAGUUUCCACAUUUUACACCUAGCCUAAUUUUUCCUUUCCUAUCAUCUAGGCACUCAUCCACAUAGAUAACUGUUCUUUUUUCAUUUAUUUAAUUUCUCUGCAGUUUUCUUCUUUGAUCUAUGAUUUUCACUUAACUAGUUAACUGCAUAAAGUUUCUGCCAGUAGAAAAAGUUGUGGUUAGUCGUAUUACUUCAGUAAGCAUCAAGCCAGUUAUCAUGGUCAGAAUUAUGCAAGCAGCUUUAAGUUUUAUGAUUCUGCAUCAUCCUUUUAGGCUAGUGAAGCAUAAGACUGCAUAUCAGACUGUUGAAUAACUGUUUGGUAAACUCACCUGUUUGUAUAUUUUAACAUUGGAAACAAGUUUGAAGCUUGAUAUUUAGCUUAUUUAUUAUGAACUAGCUAAAUUGAGAACACUCAAAAUGAGCUCAAAUUAGGUGCUUUUUCUUUGCUUUAUUGACGCACAUUGAAUAAAAGUAGAACGUGUAGGGAACCAUAUUUUCUCAAAUCCAUAUGUAAUUAAGUUAUAUAUCUAUAUAUUUGAGUAAGUUUAUGUUAUAGUUCUAACUAUUAUAUCUAAUUCUUGGCCGAGUAAUGAGCUUCAGCUUGGUUCAUGCGCUCAUUAACUUGUACCAAGCCAAGGUUGAGGACUUGAAGUGACUCGAGCUCAAUACCUUUAUGAAAGCCAACCUAUGCUAUUCUAAGCUCUGUUAGGCUGUCCUGAAGGUGCACUCAAAAGCUGAAACUUUCUUGUGCUGGUAAUGGUGAAAGAGCAGGCAGGAGACGGCAACCGAGGACACAACAAGAAAGAAUACGUUAAAUUUCUUUAGUUGUGGUUUUAUAGACUUCAAAUGACAGAUCUACAGAUAGAAGAAUAAAGAUUCUGAACUUUUGUGUUAUUAUAUAUCAUGUAUCUCUUGUCAACCUGAAAGAGGAUAUGCUUGUGAUUAAGGACAAACGACUGCCCACUGCAAAAAGAAAAGGUGUAGGUAAGAGGGAGUUGAUGAUAUAAAUGGUGAAACAGUAGGGAAAAGAGGAGCAAAAUGGAAAUGGUUAGAGGGUUGGAGGAAUGACAUGAUUGCCUAGGAUUUCCUAUUAGUAUAGCCCAAAAGAAUAAAGUUUAUUCUUUCUGAACCGGAUUAAGAAAAAAAGAAAACUUGCACACUUCCUUUUUCUAGUUUUCUAGAAAUUUUAUAUGUUUAGCUUUGCAAAUUGGCAUGUUAUCACUCUUCUUCCUGUAUUUUAUCCUUAUGUUUACCCGAUUUCACUAACUGUAUCCUUAAGCAAUGGGAAUGCCUCUAUAACAAAUGAAUAUAUUGACCAAUUAUGACUCCUGCAAAUUGAUAAAGAGAGGUUGCAACACAUGAAUCAACCAUGUUAGUGAAAAUACAAAACUAUGUAACCACUGAUUUUGCUUUUCUCAUGUUGCUUUUUGUUGAGCAUCAGUGGCAAAACUUGCUUGAAACUGUGUCUCGCACUGGUGAACUGUUUUUUGGUGCUGAAAUCUGGACAUGACUCUCAUUUUUCCUGUUGGGGUGGUGGUUUAUCACUGGAGCAUGGUUGGGUCCUCUUUACAUGUAAAAAUCAGUCUUUUAAAGUGAGUCCCUUAAUGUGUUCGUGUUGCUAGUUUUACCCAUGCUUGUAUUAUACGCUUAUAGUACAAAUAUUAUGGUUGAACCUAUUUAUGAAUAAGAUUUUCCACUUUAUUUGUUCAAACAUAUCUCCAUUCCUGAAUUUUACUUUUCGCUAAUAAUCUCUCCUGUUUUUUUCUUCAUUUUUCUUUUUAGUUUGUUUGGCAUGAUACCGCUUGCUUUCCAGCUAUUGAAUGCCAGAUGGAAUGUUGAACUGUGAUACCAUCAGUGGUUGUUGAUAUUGUCGACGAUGGCCUAUAGAAUAAGAUCAGCAUGGCUCCAGUGGAACGCGAAAUAGCUAAGAAUACACCUCUCAAACUCCUCCAAAAGCUUCACGAAAAGCGAAUCUGCUUCAAGUUCAUCUGCAAAAAAAGCAUAUAUAUCUUCUUCACAGCUUUCGCUCUUCCUGAUGUAUUCUGCAGCUAACUUGCAGAGGUGUGGACAUUCUCUCCUAUCCUUGAAUCCCAUUUGCCUGGCUGCACAAUCAUCAAUGAGAUAGAUUUAGAUGUUUUGCCUCCUGCCUUUUGCUUUAAACGAGGCAUGAUCUUCCAAUUUUUUCUCUGCCGGAGACGAUAAUGAACUGCUGCUGCAACGAACAAACCAAUUGAAGAGGCUAUAAAGAUCUGUGUGAAGGUUAUUGAUUACCCCUCUGCAUGUCUGAGAGCUCCAGGGUAGAGAAUUUUGUAUCUGAUUUAAUGAUGUUCUGAAGACAGGAAACAGAUUUGCCAUUGCUUCUUUCUUCGUAGCUGCAUGGUCUCCUUUAUAUUUGC